GCCUUGCUAGCUCAAUCGGUAGAGCGUGUGACUUUUACAGACGCUGUAAAUUCAAAUCCCAAGGUUGCGGGUUCGACCCCCGCGUGAGGCU